UACGAAGGGGGCUAGCGUUGCUCAGAAUCACUGGGCGUAAAGGGUGCGUAGGCGGGUCUUUAAGUCAGGGGUGAAAUCCUGGAGCUCAACUCCAGAACUGCCUUUGAUACUGAAGAUCUUGAGUUCGGGAGAGGUGAGUGGAACUGCGAGUGUAGAGGUGAAAUUCGUAGAUAUUCGCAAGAGCACCAGUGGCGAAGGCGGCUCACUGGCCCGGUACUGACGCUGAGGUGCGAAAGCGUGGGGAGCAAACAGG
rnacentral:rRNA from 1 species